rnacentral:rRNA from 1 species
UACGGAGGGUGCAAGCGUUAAUCGGAUUUAUUGGGCGUAAAGGGCGCGUAGGCGGGAUAGCAAGUCAGACGUGAAAUCCUGGAGCUUAACUCCAGAACAGCAUCUGAAACUACCAUUCUAGAGGAUAGACGGGGAAAACGGAAUUCCACAAGUAGCGGUGAAAUGCGUAGAUAUGUGGAAGAACACCAGUGGCGAAGGCGGUUUUCUAGUUUAUUCCUGACGCUAAAGCGCGAAAGCUAGGGGAGCAAACAGG